rnacentral:rRNA from 1 species
AUUGAACGCUGGCGGAAUGCUUUACACAUGCAAGUCGAGCGGCAGCGCGGGGCAACCUGGCGGCGAGCGGCGAACGGGUGAGUAAUGCAUCGGAACGUACCCCGUCGUGGGGGAUAACUACCCGAAAGGGUAGCUAAUACCGCAUACGACCUGAGGGUGAAAGCGGGGGACCGAAAGGCCUCGCGCGAUGGGAGCGGCCGAUGCCGGAUUAGCUAGUUGGUAGGGUAAAGGCCUACCAAGGCGACGAUCCGUAGCUGGUCUGAGAGGACGACCAGCCACACUGGAACUGAGACACGGUCCAGACUCCUGCGGGAGGCAGCAGUGGGGAAUUUUGGACAAUGGGCGAAAGCCUGAUCCAGCCAUUCCGCGUGAGUGAAGAAGGCCUCGGUUGUAA